rnacentral:lncRNA from 1 species
UUAUCACUGUACAGAGUUUCUUGGAUUAACUGUCAAACAUGAUUGUAGGAAUUCAUGAAGUUUGCUUUUGCUUCUGAAGAUGUUUUUUUCCUUGAUAUUUCUGGGCAGAACUUGUUUGAAACUAAAUCAUGAAAAGUAUAAGGAUAUUUCUUUGCUAAAAUAGUGUUGGAAGAAAGAAAAUGCGAAAUCUAAGUAAUUUGAAAAUUCAGUCUGCUGACAUGUUAAAAUGAAUCCUCUAACUAACCUAUAAAACAUAUAAAUAUUAGUAUUACAUUAAUAAAAAUUUUAAUGCCUCGUAUAUUCAUAGAUCUUAUACUAAAUACAAUUAAAAUGAUUAAAACUUCUAAGUUUAAAUAGGUUGUUAAUAAGACUGUCAUUGAAUUCAAAAUUUUGUGUUUAGAUCCUUGCCAUGAGACCAACAUUGCAUGUAGAUUCUUGACAUGAGACUGAUAUUGUGCUUAGAUCCUUGACAUGAGAUUGAUAUUGUGCUUAGAUCCUUGCCAUGAGACUGAUAUUGUGCUUAUAUCCUUGGCAUGAGACUGAUAUUGUGCUUAGAUCCUUGGCAUGAGACUGAUAUUGUACUUAGAUCCUUGACAUGAGACUGAUAUUGCAUGUUGAUUAUUGACAUGAGACCGAUAUUGUACUUAGAUCCUUGGCAUGAGACUGAUAUUGUACUUAGAUCCUUGACAUCAGACCAAUAUUGUACUUAGAUCCUUGGCAUGAGACUGAUAUUGUACUUAGAUCCUUGGCAUGAGACUAAUAUUGCAUUUAGCUUUUUGACAUGAGACCAACAUUGUGUUCAAAAUUUUUGAGGGACAGUUAUUAUAUUAGACAUCAUCACUAUUUCAUUUUGAUGAAACAAGUUUUUAAGAGAUAUUUUGAUCCUCAGCUAGUUUCCUGAGAUUUGUAGUUCAAAGAUUGUUAAAAGAAGAUCAGGAUGACCGACUUUAAACAAGCGAUAUAGUACAUUUAUAUUUCAGUUUGUGAUUAAUGACAAGAGAGAGUUUGAUAAGAAAAUGUGUUUUUUAUGUUUAAUGAACCUGUAGGUCAGGGAUGGAGCCCAGUGUUGCCACCUAGUUAUGUUGUCAACUCGCAAGUUCCAGCAGCUGGUCUGAAAACUACGGUAUUAAGCUUUACAACAACAAGUCCAACACAGGGUCUGCCUAUCCCUAUCCAUCACUCAACUAUUCAACCUCUCCCACCCCAGUUAUCUCCUCAACCUGUGUUUUCUACAGUGUCACCCAGCUUUCCAUCAAUGUCUUACCUGAACGGAAACCAUUCUCAAACUAGCUAUACGGUAACUGGAAUUUCCCUGGGGUCAAGUCCAAUACUGCCAUUAACACCCCAGCCACACAUGGGAACUUACCUCGAUCAGUUUAAUCAAGGAAAGCAUACUUGAAGAUAAUCUCUUGUGUCUUCAUGUUCUUGUGUAAUCGUGGGGUUAUUUUAAUAGUUUAAGUGGUGAACUCUUACGUUGACUUAUGGUGAUACAGCGUUUACUCUUCUGAUCUCAUAUAGAGGCAUUCAAAAGACCAAGACUGUUAUUAAACACCUUGAAUAUCGGGGCUUUUAAAGAGCUCGUUUACACGAAGAAUACGUUCUGUACAGACAGUUAUUGUAAUAUACAUCAAAUCAUUAUUACUGUUGGUUUUUAAUCUAAAUUUCAUAUUAUGAAACGUUUGUGAAAUAUUUUUCUUUUAGAAAUAAGUUAGUAGUUGUCCUGUCUCUUUUUUGUUUUAUGUGAAAUUUGUACAGAGAAAAUUAUAUUUUUUUGUGUGGCAGUUCUUGAUUAAAGAACUAUUUGUCUGAAUAUACACCACUGAAGAAAAUUUAAUGUAAUAAAGAGAGUGGUAGGAACUGAUUGGAAAAAACAAAGUUUUUAGGAGAAGAUCCAAAUAUUAAAAGUUAAAUAAAUGUGAUUUAUUCAUAGAACUCGAGAAGCACAAGUAUGCCACUACAAAUUUGUUAAAUACAUUUGUCGAUGAGUACUGUACCAUUUUACUCUUGUUGUUACUGUUAUCCUUGGAUAUUUUUAUUUCAUCUCUCACAUUGUGACAUUUUCAUAUAAGCAUUUAAAUUUUUAUUUGUGCAAUUUAUAAAAUUAUUGUAGAAUUUUUUUGUACCAUGUUAAUAACUUAUUUCUUAUAUUGUUGAAAAUUCCAGUGGUUCAUAUUUAGUGUUUUAAAUGUUUGUGUCAUGUAAUAGCUCUGAUGUCGACGUACUUGUGUCUAAUAAAUAUAGCUUCUCGUUUUUACAAUUAA